rfam:Enterobacter cloacae SCF1, complete genome.
CCAAUUAUGGCCUCGGCAGCGGGUCAGGGCCGACUGCUGCCUGAAGAAGGGGAUA